rnacentral:rRNA from 1 species
UGAGGAAUUUUGCGCAAUGGGAGCAAUCCUGACGCAGCAACGCCGCGUGGGUGAUGAAGGCCUUCGGGUCGUAAAGCCCUGUCAGGUGGGAAGAAUGUCCCGGGACUGAACAGGUUCCGGGAGUGACGGUACCACCAGAGGAAGCACCGGCUAACUCCGUGCCAGCAGCCGCGGUAAUACGGAGGGGGCAAGCGUGAUUCGGAAUUACUGGGCGUAAAGCGCGUGUAGGCGGUCCCGCAAGUCUGAUGUGAAAGCCCCGGGCUGAACCCGGGAAGUGCAUUGGAAACUGUGGAACUUGAGUACUGGAGAGGAGGGGGGAAUUCCCGGUGUAGAGGUGAAAUUCGUAGAGAUCGGGAGGAAUAUCAGUGGCGAAGGCGCCCAUCUGGACGGUAACUGACGCUGAGACGCGAAAGCGUGGGGAGCAAACA